UACGGAGGGUGCAAGCGUUUAUCCGGAUUCACUGGGUUUAAAAGGGUGCGUAGGUGGCUUUGUAAGUCAGUGGUGAAAGCCCGGAGCUCAACUCCGGAACUGCCAUUGAUACUGCUUAGCUUGAAUCACGCGAGGUGGAUGGAAUAAUACAUGUAGCGGUGAAAUGCUUAGAUAUGGUAUUAGAACACCGAUUGCGAAGGCAGUUCACUAGGCGUGUAUUGACACUGGAGGCACGAAAAGCGUGGGGGAUCAAACAGG
rnacentral:rRNA from 1 species